CAUGCCAGGCGAUGCCAAGCACCCCUGACAGCACUGAAGAGGAAUCCCAAAUGCAGGUUUCAUACUGCAGCCUGGUAAUGCUGUGUUGAUUGCUUCAUGAAAGGAAACGAACAGCUGUAUUGAUGCUUCCCAGACAAGUCACGGUGAAGCAUGGAACUCUCCCAGCUGGGUAUCCACUGAUGCUGUGACAAAGGGAUCCAUUGGGGUUGAGACUCUGCUCAGUGACAUCUCUCCUCCCUCACAACCCUGUUUCUUCUUCAUUGGACAUCAUUGAUGUUGCUGAGAAAAUAUAACUUGGACUCAUCUAUGUGUUCUGAGGGCAUGAAGGAACUUCAGUCUUUUAUAUAGAUUUUCUACCUGAUGACAUUGAGUGGAUCCAGUUUCACUAAAUUACACUAUGGAGCCAUUGGAGAGGUAUCAAGUUAAAUUAUACAAUUUCCUUUGAUUCUGGAAGCUCACAAGGUAAA